UCUAUAUCACACACAAAUUUUGGGAGAGGUCAAUCAAAGAAGAUAGGUUAUUCUUCAAUAUCAGCUCUUUCCUGAUGGCUAAAAU
rfam:Pteropus alecto contig105784, whole genome shotgun sequence.